AUUUGAGCAAAUUUAUUGCUCAAUUGGAACGAUACAGAGAAGAUUAGCAUGGCACCUGCGCAAGGAUGACACGCAUAAAUCCUAUGGUGAUGAAAUGGUG